GAGCGGUGUGAAAAACUCUGGUGGUAUACGAUGGUUCCGCGUCUGAUUAGCUAGUUGGUGGGGUAAUGGCCUACCAAGGCAACGAUCAGUAGCCGGCCUGAGAGGGUGAACGGCCACAUUGGGACUGAGACACGGCCCAAACUCCUACGGAAGGCAGCAG
rnacentral:rRNA from 1 species